rnacentral:rRNA from 1 species
UACGUAGGGGGCGAGCGUUGUCCGGAGUUACUGGGCGUAAAGGGCAUGCAGGCGGUCGGACGCGUUUCGGGUGACAGCGGGUGGCUUAACUACCCGAGUGGUCGAAAGACGGUUUGACUUGAGGAUGCGAGAGGGACACGGAAUUCCGGGUGGAGUGGUGAAAUGCGUAGAGAUCCGGAGGAACACCGGAAGGCGAAGGCAGUGUCCUGGCGCGUAACUGACGCUGAGGCGCGAAGGCUAGGGGAGCGAACGGG